rnacentral:rRNA from 1 species
GACGAGGGAUCCUAGCGUUGUUCGGAAUUAUUGGGCGUAAAGCGGGUGUAGGCGGACUUAUAAGUCAGGUGUGAAAUCCCAGGGCUCAACCCUGGAAGUGCACUUGAUACUGUAAGUCUUGAAUGUGGUAGAGGUUACUGGAAUUGCUGGUGUAGUGGUGAAAUACGUAGAUAUCAGCAGGAACACCGGAGGCGAAGGCGGGUAACUGGGCCAACAUUGACGCUGAGAUCCGAAAGCGUGGGGAUCAAACAGG